UUUCUGCUGCUGCUGCUUGGAUUUGGACUUCAGUAAGAUUUUGCUCCGGGUCGUGUUUUAAAAUGAUAUAUUGCUAGUCAAUCAGAGGCUGCUAUGUUUGGUUUGUUUAUGGGAUUAUAGCGAUUCAACCUAUUGACUUUAUUUGAUUAAUCAUAGAAUGUCAUUUUUUUUACUUCUCAGUAGACCCUAUUUGCUUCUCUUGAAAAGAGAUUGACGAGUUUAGGAAUUGGGGUUUAUAGUUCUAUGAGCCUUCUUAAGCUUCUAAGGUUUUGGUGAACUUAGUUUUGGUCACUAGGAACUUGAAUUUGUAGUUCGAUGAGUGUUAUUUUAGCUUCUAAGGUCUUAAUGAACUUAGCUUUUCUCAGUAAUUUGAUCUCUUAAUUUACUUAGGAAGCUAUUUGGUUAUGUUUGCUAUUUGUGCGAUUGGGGAACUUAAGAAAUCAAUUCAAUUCUUGACAGGAACAUAUUAUCAAGUUAUACUAUCGAAUUUUAUUUUUAGGAUCUCGAGUAUUUACUUAUUGGGUGGAACUAAAUGGAGUCUCAAUGGUUUUAGGAAGAGAUACCGAAAUAUUAAGUUAUGAAUUAUGUUUCUGAAAGUCCUUUUAAGAUUUCUGUUUUAGAAGAUGAUGCUUUUCUUGGAAUAAAUACAUAGUAGGUUUGAUGAGAAGCUGUGUUACACUUACUGGUCUUAUUUGCUUAAUUCUGCUAAUUGACAGUGUAAGAUAAAUUUUAGAAAUAGGUUUUUGCAAAAUACAUUUCUUGAUAAUCUUGAAAUGUGGUGGAGCUCUAAACGUGUUGUGAAAAUAUGGCCUGAUAGUCUUGAUGGCCUAGCCACUGUAGAGAACAGAUGAAUAUUCCAAUUCACUGUAGAUGUUAUCACAUGAUCUUAGUUUCCGAGCUUUUGACACGUAUUUCGUUUAUUAUCAGUUAUAAAGUACUUGAAAAUUUUGAUCGACGUCUAAGAUUUACUGGAUGUUGACUUUAAAAUGUGCUUCAGAUCAUUGCUUUCUAAAAUCAUAUCGUCUUUCCAAGUUAUUGUUCUUCACAAAACCUCCCUUUUCCUGUCCUGUUUCUUACACUUCUUUAUUUUUUCUUAAGAGCUUUUUUGCUCUGUGGUAAUAAGAUUCUUUUCCUCCUAUCUUCAGAUCAUAGCUUUCUAAAAUCUGUGUUGGCUUAUCCAAUCAAUAGCGAUAUUUCACCUGGGUCUAACGUAAUUGAUUUGUAAUAAGUUUCGGCACUUAAAGUUUAUAAAUUUCAAAGAGAAUGAAAACAAUAUUCUCGUGCAUAUUUAGUGAUUUGGAGAUGCCUGUCCUGCUCUUGCUUCAUAAUAUCUUUUUCAUCUGCAGUUUCAGGAUUAACUAUGAUACUGCAGUUGUAUCUUAUGUUUUCAUCUGUAUACGUGGUUACAUCUAUGUUUUACAGCAUCUGAUUUUCAUCGGUUAUAUGAUCGUAUGUGAUAUGGACAACAGCGCAGUUCAGUCUCAGGGAGGGAAGUAUAACCAGACCCUUGAUCCACAUGGCAGCUCCAGCAGUGGUAAUGCGCACCUUCCGAAUUUGUAAAUCACGGUCUUCUUCUCUGGAAUCAAACAAGGCAUUGUUGGGUAGGAGAUAAAAGAUCUUUGAAUCGUGCUCAUCAGACUCUGGAACUCAAAUCAAACUGGGUAGAUCUAAAGAUUUCUAGAUCAAUCAAAUUAACAUAAUGGUAAAUCUUCCUUGCUUGUGAUAUGUUACAAUAGUGCACUAUGCAGUACUUGAUAUUUAAGCUUGAUUGCUAUAUGCUGCUAUAUAUCUUAACAUGGAGCAUCGUCUGUCAGUCCAAAACUGUUUUUCUUGGCAUUUUACGCUGUAGAGCCAUUUUAACUGCCCUUUUCAAUAGUUUGCAUUUUCUAAAGGUGCAUUUUCCUUGCUGUGAUCUACUGUGACCAAAUGAAUUUUUCUUCUUUUGUAAACGGAAGCUCCAAAAAGCUCUCAUGACUCUGCAAUGACGUCCUUUCCAUCUCUUUUAUAAUUUUAUAUUUUGAAGUAACCUUGUAAAUAUUAGUUUGAACUUUGAAGGCUUCAAACUCUGAUGAAGAACCAAUUAAUUAUAUUUGUUUUAUCGAUUGACCAAAUAUUAUGUAUUUUAAGUGAUUCUUGUCCACUGCUAAUUAAUUAGUAUUUUACUCUGAAAAAUAUUUGAGUGUUAGUAUUCCAUUUCAAAGGAAUGGAAGAAAAUGUUAAUGUUGAUGGAAAUUCCCCUAAGGUUUAUUAAUUUGUUAAUGUCAUAAAAAUUCACCAACUUUACACGUUUUCUCAUUUUAAUCACGCCGUUUAAAAAUUGUCAUUUUCAUACACGAACUACCAACUUUUCUCAAAUAUAUACACAGUUUAAAAAUCCGGUGAAAAUUGCUGAACUGGCAACGUGACAUGUCAUAACGAAUCAGAUAGUGACACGUCAGCAAUUUUUGCCGGAUUUUUGAACAGUGUAUGGAUUUGAGAAAAAUUGAUAGUUGGUGUGUAAAGUUGGUGAAUUUUUUUAACAGUAUCCCUUAUUAAUACCUAUGUAUAGAUUUGCAAAUCUUUAGCACUGAACAUGUAGACGGUGAUACAUUGUUGGCUGUCGGAAAGAUAAACAUUGAUCAUCUCUAAACUUCGUUUCUGGUUUAUGUUGUCAGCACUGAUUUCCUCUGCAUUGGUUAAAAACUUAUGACUUUGCUGCAGUUAUUAUUAAGUAAUAUAUGACAGUUUACUUGGGAGCAACAAACCCUCAGCCUAUUCCGCUCAGUGAAAUGGAAGAUUUUCUCGUGGACAUCUGAGAGCAAGAGAGGUAAGUAUUAUUGAUAAGUGGAAGAUAUAUGUAAGAGUUGGUUAGAAUUGAAAUCCGCCACAAUUAAUGUCAGAUUAAGCCUCUGUUGAACAAUCCAUGCUGUGUUUGUUAACUAUGCAUCCAAACCAUUUAAAUUCACCGGUUGCCAUAUAUGAGCUAUGGUAGAUACCCAUUAAGUUUAGUAAUUAAGUAAAGAAGGCUAUAUCAGAAGUAAAUUGAUAUUGAAAAUGUAAAUGUGUUUGUUCACAUGACAUAACAAGUGUGUUCAUUGAAUAACUUAAUCUAUUGGAUAGAUUGAUUAUUUGACAA